CGGUGUUCAACUGGCGUGCCCGCGGGACGUCCUGCCGGUGAGCUCAGCCCGCGAGGGCGGCUCAACUUGAAAUCCCAUCGCGGUGCUCUUCAUUGAGUGUCGAGGUGGGCCGGCACGAUUACUUUUGAACAAAUUAGAGUGCUUAAAGCAGGCUAAAAUUUUGCCUGAAUACUGUGUAUAUGGAAUAAUGGAAUAGGACCUCGGUUCUAUUUUGUUGGUUUUCGGAACCCCGAGGUAAUGAUUAAUAGGAACGGAUGGGGGCAUUCGUAUUGCGACGUUAGAGGUGAAAUUCUUGGAUCGUCGCAAGACGGACUAAAGCGAAAGCAUUUGCCAAAAACGCUUUCAUUGAUCAAGAACGAAAGUUAGAGGUUCGAAGGCGAUCAGAUACCGCCCUAGUUCUAACCAUAAACUAUGCCAGCUAGCGAUCCGCCGACGUCCCUCUGAUGACUCGGCGGGCAGCUUCCGGGAAACCAAAGCUUUUGGGUUCCGGGGGAAGUAUGGUUGCAAAGCUGAAACUUAAAGGAAUUGACGGAAGGGCACCACCAGGAGUGGAGCCUGCGGCUUAAUUUGACUCAACACGGGAAACCUCACCAGGCCCAGACACUGGAAGGAUUGACAGAUUGAGAGCUCUUUCUUGAUUCAGUGGGUGGUGGUGCAUGGCCGUUCUUAGUCGGUGGAGCGAUUUGUCAGGUUAAUUCCGAUAACGGACGAGACUCUGACCUGAUAACUAGACGCACUUGCGGCAUCUCAAAGGUCCGCCGGCGGCAGGCUUUGCGCCCGUCGUCGCGCGCGAUUUUUACUGCCGGCGUACAAUAAAUUCUUCUUAGAGGGACAAGUGG
rnacentral:rRNA from 1 species